GAUGAACGCUGACAGAAUGCUUAACACAUGCAAGUCUUUGGCGAAGCUGUGCUUGCACAGCCUAGCCAAGGCGGACGGGUGAGUAACGCGUAAGGAACUUGCCCUGCAGACAGGGAUAACAGACGGAAACGACUGAUAAGACCUGGUAAAGUCAGGCGGACUCAUGUCCAGCCUGAUGAAAAGAGAUGCUGCAGGAGAGCCUUGCGUCCUAUUAGCUUGUUGGUGGGGUAACGGCCCACCAAGGCGAUGAUAGGUAGCCGGCCUGAGAGGGUGGACGGCCACAAGGGGACUGAGAUACGGCCCUUACUCCUACGGGAGGCAGCAGUGGGGAAUAUUGGACAAUGGGGGCAACCCUGAUCCAGCAAUUCUGUGUGCACGAUGAAGGUUUUCGGAUUGUAAAGUGCUUUCAGCAGGGAAGAAAAAAAUGACGGUACCUGCAGAAGAAGCGACGGCUAAAUACGUG
rnacentral:rRNA from 1 species